AACGAACGCUGGCGGCAUGCCUAACACAUGCAAGUCGAACGAGACCUUCGGGUCUAGUGGCGCACGGGUGCGUAACACGUGGGAAUUUGCCUCGGGGUAUGGAAUAACUCAGGGAAACUUGAGCUAAUACCAUAUAAUGUCUUCGGACCAAAGAUUUAUCGCCCUGAGAUAAGCCCGCGUAGGAUUAGCUAGUUGGUGGGGUAAAGGCUCACCAAGGCGACGAUCCUUAGCUGGUCUGAGAGGAUGAUCAGCCACACUGGGACUGAGACACGGCCCAGACUCCUACGGGAGGCAGCAGUGGGGAAUAUUGGACAAUGGGCGAAGACCUGAUCCAGCAAUGCCGCGUGAGUGAUGAAGGCCUGGUUGUAACG
rnacentral:rRNA from 1 species